rnacentral:rRNA from 1 species
GACAGAGGGUGCAAACGUUGUUCGGAUUUACUGGGCGUAAAGCGCGUGUAGGCGGCUUGGCAAGUCGGAUGUGAAAGCCCACGGCUCAACCGUGGAAGCGCAUCCGAAACUGCUUCGCUCGAGUCUCGGAGAGGAAGGUGGAAUGCUUGGUGUAGAGGUGAAAUUCGUAGAUAUCAAGCAGAACACCUGCGGCGAAGGCGGCCUUCUGGACGAUGACUGACGCUGAGACGCGAAAGCGUGGGGGAGCAAACAGG